UUCGCCCUUAGGGUUGAUUAUGGCUCAGGACGAACGCUGGCUGCGUGCUUAACACAUGCAAGUCGAACGCUGAAGCUGGGUGCUUGCACCUGGUGGAUGAGUGGCGAACGGGUGAGUAACACGUGAGCAACCUGCCCCUGACUCUGGGAUAAGCGCUGGAAACGGCGUCUAAUACUGGAUACGAACCAUGAAGGCAUCUUCAGUGGUUGGAAAGAUUUAUUGGUUGGGGAUGGGCUUGCGGCCUAUCAGCUUGUUGGUGAGGUAAUGGCUCACCAAGGCGUCGACGGGUAGCCGGCCUGAGAGGGUGACCGGCCACACUGGGACUGAGACACGGCCCAGACUCCUACGGGAGGCAGCAGUGGGGAAUAUUGCACAAUGGGCGCAAGCCUGAUGCAGCAACGCCGCGUGAGGGAUGACGGCCUUCGGGUUGUAAACCUCUUUUAGCAGGGAAGAAGCGAAAGUGACGGUACCUGCAGAAAAAGCGCCGGCUAACUACGUGCCAGCAGCCGCGGUAAUACGUAGGGUACGAGCGUUGUCCGGAAUUACUGGGCGUAAAGAGCUCGUAGGUGGUUUGUCGCGUCGUCUGUGAAAUUCCGGGGCUUAACUCCGGGCGUGCAGGCGAUACGGGCAUAACUUGAGUGCUGUAGGGGAGACUGGAAUUCCUGGUGUAGCGGUGAAAUGCGCAGAUAUCAGGAGGAACACCGAUGGCGAAGGCAGGUCUCUGGGCAGUUACUGACGCUGAGGAGCGAAAGCAUGGGUAGCGAACAGGAUUAGAUACCCUGGUAGUCCAUGCCGUANACGGUGGGCGCUAGGUGUGGGGGUCUUCCACGACUUCUGUGCCGUAGCUAACGCAUUAAGCGCCCCGCCUGGGGAGUACGGCCCGCAGGCUAAAACUCNAAGGAAUUGACGGNNGCCCNGCACAGCGGCGGAGCAUGUGGAUUAAUUUCGAUGCACGCGAAGAACCUUACCCUGGCUGACAUAUGCANGAUUGCACAAAGAUGUGUUGUCCCUUGUGUCUGUAUAACAGUGGUGCAUGGUUGUCGUCAGCUCGUGUCCUGAAAUGUUUGGUUAAGUCCCGCACGAGCGCACCCUUUGUCUGUGUGCCACCACUUUAUGUGGG
rnacentral:rRNA from 1 species